rnacentral:rRNA from 1 species
UACGUAGGGUGCAAGCGUUGUCCGGAAUUAUUGGGCGUAAAGAGCUCGUAGGCGGUUUGUCGCGUCUGCUGGGAAAACUCGGGGCUUAACCCCGGGCCUGCAGUGGGUACGGGCAGACUAGAGUGCGGUAGGGGAGACUGGAAUUCCCGGUGUAGCGGUGAAAUGCGCAGAUAUCGGGAGGAACACCAGUGGCGAAGGCGGCGCUCUGGGCCGGAACUGACGCUGAGGAGCGAAAGCGUGGGUAGCAAACAGG